rnacentral:rRNA from 1 species
UACGUAGGGUGCAAGCGUUGUCCGGAAUUAUUGGGCGUAAAGAGCUUGUAGGCGGUCUGUCGCGUCUGUUGUGAAAAUCCGGGGCUCAACCCCGGACUUGCAGUGGGUACGGGCAGACUAGAGUGUGGUAGGGGAGACUGGAAUUCCUGGUGUAGCGGUGAAAUGCGCAGAUAUCAGGAAGAACACCAAUGGCGAAAGCAGCUCUCUGGGACGGUACUGACGCUGAGACGCGAAAGCGUGGGGAGCGAACAGG